AACGAACGCUGGCGGCAGGCCUAACACAUGCAAGUCGAACGCUCGUAGCAAUACGGGAGUGGCAGACGGGUGAGUAACACGUGGGAACCUACCCUUUGGUUCGGAAUAGCCCAGGGAAACUUGGGGUAAUACCGGAUAAGCCCUUCGGGGAAGGAUUUAUCGCCGAAGGAUGGGCCGCGUCGGAUUAGCUAGUUGGUGGGGUAACGGCCUACCAAGGCGACGAUCCGUAGCUGGUCUGAGAGGACGACCAGCCACACUGGGACUGAGACACGGCCCAGACUCCUACGGGAGGCAGCAGUGGGAAGUAUUGGACAAUGGGCGAAAGCCUGAUCCAGCGAUGCCGCGUGUGUGAAGAAGGCCUGCGGGUUGUAAAGCACUUUCAGUA
rnacentral:rRNA from 1 species